UGUUUAUAUGCAAAAAAGGCAGCUCCUAGUUGUGAGCUAUGUGAGAGGAAUACAUAUCUGUAUGUCAAGGACUCACAUACUCUUUAGGAGUAAGGAAGAGCAGGGGCAUGAGGGUAUCAGCAUGGUGUUUGGGCUGUUUUCCAGCUGAUGGACCAGUUUAUAACCCAGCAUGUUUGAAUGUUCACCUCUUCAGGGGGUUUUUGGGGAAGCCUGGGAGGAGCCCCAACACGAGAAUAAAAAGAAAAGCUGGAGAAGCUCAGGGAGGCAGAGACAACCUUUGUCUUCUUGUCCAUCAGAGAGGGAAAGGUGGAAGUCCUGCAGGAGUGAGUAGAUGUGCUCCCAGCAUGACCCCAGAAAUGGCACAACUAAUGGAAGGCAAGUUAUCCCUUUUUUUCUUUAACCACUUUGCUAUAUGUGUCCAGAGA
ensembl:lncRNA